AAGGAAAGAAGCACCCUGUGAGGAAGAAGGAACGCAGCAGACUCAGCAGCAGCAAAUAGAUCAUGAUGCGAUACAAAGAGGUAAUCAAUCACUCUUUUUAUCUAUGUGCACACGAUGCUACAUUUCAUAACCAGGCAAAGACUCUAAUUUUGUUGUAGUUACUACGUGAUAUUAAUUGCCAGAUCUUGUUUAUGGUACAUCCAUGACUACCCAUUUUCAUUUCGUAGGAAAAAGAGGCAAAGAAGGAAGCUUUCAGGAAGUAUCUUGAAUCUAGUGGAGUUCUUGAUUCUCUCACCAAAGUUCUGGUUGCAUUGUAUGAGCAAAAUGAGAAACCUUCCUCUGCCCUUGAGUAAGUCUUCCUUUUUCACCGUAUCUGAAGUAAUGGGUAGGAAUCAUUGUCAUACUGUUUGGUUAAAUUGAAAAUUGAAGAUGCCCUUUUUUCCCCUGGGGCAUCCAACGAUUUCAGUUAGUCUUUGGGUAGCAUUCAAGCCAAUUGUUGGGUAGAAUUCAAGUCAAUUGUUUUGUUACUUUGGAAAUUUUUAAAGGGAUAAGGUUGCCAAGUUUUGAACCCCUCACCUCAUGCAUCAUGAUGCAAACAUUUGAUCGCUGGAUUGAAACCAAGCAAAUUGUAUUAUCUUUCGUUUGGCCUCAUGAUAUCUCUUUCAUGUCAGCUUUUUGGAUCUACAUGUUGAAGUUUUAAUUCGCUUAAUCAAUAUUUAUGUAGUAGACAGGGUGCUUAAUGAAAUCUCAAAUUGAAUAAAUAAAAUAAAUUACAUCUCCAUUGGAGAAUAAAACUAAAUAAACUAAAAUUCAUUUUACUUGUUAUGGACUUCAAUAUGGUUUCGUCAACCAUGUCAGCUUUUGGGUAGGCUUGUGAAGUUUUAAUUUGGCUUGAUCAAUAGCUAUGUGGUAACUGGGUCUAUUUAAGAAAUUUUUUUUCCUUAUCAAUGACAAUUAAACAUAAAUGCUUGCAAUGGUUUUUUUGUGUGGCUAAACAUAUAUUUGUUUUUACAGAUUUAUUCAACAAAAACUAGGCGGCCCAAGUUUGUCCGAGUAUGAAAAGCUGCAAGCUGAAAUGUCUGAUUUGCAAAUAAAGUAUAAUGAUCUUUUGUCAGCACACCAGGAAACUUGCAAAGAGGUGAGAUUUAGUAUGCCAUAACCUGGCAUUGUACUCUUAAUAUUUUUGUGGGAUUAACCAUUGAGAUAUUAUAGGAUGCGAGUUUCUUACAAGGGAAUCCUAAAAUCUUGAUUCAGGCCCCAAAGAGAUCAGGUUCACAUUCUUCAAGAGUCCAUGGACUGAGAAAUCAACUAAGCUUUAAUCCCAUUCUAGUUUGGCUUUUCAACAUCCUUUCAGUUAUAUAAAUCAAUUCCUUGUUUUGAUCAUGGUUUUCUCAUGUUCCCUAGUAAGUUAUUGGAGAAGUCUGUCAAUAAACUGCUGGUCUGCUAAACAUCAUUCAGAAUUUAUGUAUUUAUCCAUGCCGUGUUUACAAAUACAAUAUAAAGUAUGCUUCGCAUGUCCAAGGAAAUGCAAUAAAAGUUGCUAGUGUUAGUUAUCCCAGGCCCCCCACCACCAACCACACCCCACCCCCCCGGCCCGAAAAAAAGAGGUGAUACACGUGGUAUUGAUAUUGCUGAAGCAAUUCAUUUGUUACCUAAAGACAAAUUUAUGAUGGUUGUUUGCUUUAGGUAUUUGUUGUGUUUUAUAAUUAGCUAGUGUGUAGGGUGGCCAUUUUACUGAUGCUUAACUAUUUGUUGUGUUUUAUAAUUAGCUAGUGUGUAGGGUGGCCAUUUUACUGAUGCUUAACUAUUUGCUGUGAAUGAUAUUUACUUUCGUAGUUGUUUCUUUGUUUGAAUUGCACAUUCCCAUUUGACUUUUUCCCCUGAUUCUAUGUUCUGUUAC
rnacentral:misc_RNA from 1 species